AGAUGUGAGAGUGAUCUGGCCAUGCCUCAUUGGUCAGCAGAGUUAAUUUGGCUGAUCUAGGACAGUGCCUCCUCCUUCCUGUUCUCCUCUUGUGUGUUCCUUCUGAAGCUGUGUGCUCCAUGGGAAAGCAUGACUCUCCGCAGUAGAGGAGGACCAGUCUUCCACCAAGGGAAUGAAAGGAGCUAACUCCUGGCCAGGCCUCCCAACCAACCUCAGGAUCCAUCUGUAGGAGACCGUAGGGCAGUCAAGCCUCCAAGACUCCAGACACAGCCAGUAGCAGCACUACAUGUGGCAGUCUGCAUGUCU
ensembl:misc_RNA 7SK 7SK RNA